rnacentral:rRNA from 1 species
CGGGGUGCAGCAGGCGCGAAAACUUUACACUGCGGGAAACCGCGAUAAGGGGACCCCGAGUGCCAGCACCUAGUGCUGGCUGUCCAGCUGUCCAAAUAACAGUUGUUAGCAAGGGCCGGGCAAGACCGGUGCCAGCCGCCGCCGGUAACACCGGCGGCCCGAGUGGUAGCCGUUAUUAUUGGGUUUAAAGGGUCCGUAGCCGGCCUAUUAAGUCUCUUGGGAAAUCUGGCGACUCAAUCGUCAGUCGUCCAAGAGAUACUGGUAGGCUUGGGACCGGGAGAGGUGGGAGGUACUCCAGGGGUAGGGGUGAAAUCUUGUAAUCCUUGGGGGACCACCGAUGGCGAAGGCAUCCCACCAGAACGGGUCCGACGGUGAGGGACGAAAGCUGGGGGCACGAACCGGAUUAGAUACCCGGGUAGUCCCAGCCGUAAACGAUGCUCGCUAGGUGUCAGGUGCGGUGCGACCGCAUCUGGUGCCGCAGUGAAAACUUGAAGCGAGUCACCUGGGAAGUACGGUCGCAAGGCUGAAACUUAAAGGAAUCGGCGGGGGAGCA